GAUCAACGCUGGCGGCGUGCCUAAUGCAUGCAAGUCGAACGGGGAAUCCUUCGGGGUGCUUACGUUGCGGACGGGUGAGGAACACGUUGGCAAACUGCCCUGCGGUGCGGGGUAGCCGCCGGAAACGGCGGGUAAUUCCGCAAGAGCUCCUCGCUCGGUGGGGGGGGUGAGGGGAGGGUCGCGAGGGCUGGCUUGGGGUGCGCCGGCGGCCGGUUAGUUUGUUGGUGGGGUGACGGCCUACCAAGGCGGGGAUCGGUGGCUGGUCUGAGAGGACGGCCAGCCAGACGGGGACUGAGACACGGCCCCGACUCCGGCGGGAGGCGGGAGCAAGGAAGUGUCCGCGAUGGGCGAAAGCCUGACGGAGCAACGGCGCGUGGGGGAGGACGUCUGUCGGGGUGUAAACCCCUUUUGUUGGGGACGACGACCGACGGUACCCGAGGAAGAAGGACCGGCUAACUACGUG
rnacentral:rRNA from 1 species